rnacentral:lncRNA from 1 species
AAAAUAUGUGGUGACAAGAAAGCAUUGCUGUAACAUACCAUGUGAGGAUGAUUCAAAGAUAAAGGCCUAUAAAAAUUAACGGUCAAAGAAGAAUGCGGACUAGUAAAGCAACAACCACCUUAUUAUAAACAGAGGUCUCUCCCUACUAGAAUGCAAGUUCCACGAGAGCAGAAUUUUUGUCUGCGUGGUUAGAAGAGUAUCCAGUACAUAACCCUGGUGCUUCCCGAGUGGCCCUACCUGGUGUACUGUGCUGUCUCCUGGGGACUGUGAGAAUAUCAAAACUGUGCAACUCUUUCCAGUUUCCCUCUCUUGAUCUGUGUUUGUCUUCACCAUACCUCACCCAAGGAUUCAGGAUGUACAAGCCUCGCUCCUGGCUGCCUAAGGUGGGACAAAUCAACCUCGGAGAUAUAGCCUGACUCACUUUAAUCCCAGGAUGAGCAUGUACGGUGUAGGGGCAUCAAGUCUGGGGGAAAAGAACAACAGUUUUGUGCUCUCUAUUGGCUGUUGUGAGAGGCUUCUGCCAGUUGGAUUUAUCCUCAGGCUGUCUGUGAUGGUCCCUGACACUUCAUGGCUCACUUCCUUCUGUCAAGUAAUUCAAGGGAAAAAGCAUCCGUACAAGUCCUGGGAUUCACUGAAAUCAAACCAGUUUGGGAAAUAUGUGUAUUCCUGCACCAAACACCAUGAGACCGGCACAAUUGGAAUUAUGCUAAUAGAUGAAUCAUGUGCCAACAAUCAAACUAAUCUUCCUGAUAUAUCCCUCAAGUCAGGAGUGGCACCAUUCCUGAAUCGUACAGACCAAGAAUAGGCAAAUGAUGGUCCCCAAAGGGAACGGGAAUACUGAGAAGCAUUACGGCUGGAAAAUAUCAAUUGUAUUUACUUCUUGCAAUUGAAUACAGUUUCUGUGACAAGGCAUACUAACAUUGUAGAAUAUGUAAGCAAUGACUAUCACCUCUUCUGUAAAGCCAGUCCUGACCCCGGAGAGAGAAAUAACCACUCCAUCCUCUGUGCUCCUACAGUUCUGCCCACCCUAUGAUAUCAUCACAACCCAUUAAUGCCCUAAAUUUCUUGAUUACAUAUAGAUCUCCCCACCCAUGACUGCCUUUUUCACAAGGGUAAAGAAGGUAUCAUUUCCUUCGUAUUUCUCCAUUGAUUUCAUAAUUCCUGAAAAAUAGUAGAACUCCUAAUAAAUGUUUAUUUCUUGAAUAAGUUAUCUCCAUACCUGAUCAUAUAAUAAGCAACAAUGUUGAAAGAUACCAGAUUACAUUAAGGAAUCAAGUGAGACCAGCAGUUAGCCUGAGACUCUACGAUCAAUAUCACUG